GCAGACUCCCGAUGAGGGAGGACCUUGAGAUCAGGACCUGAGCCGGAGGCACACACAUAACCAACUGAGCCACCCAAGCACUCCGUAUUUCAAUAUGUUUUUAUACUUCCUAAAACCGUAUCUAUUCAUAGUUGUUGGUUUUGGUUUUUUUUUUUUUAAGAUUUAAUUUAUUUAUUUGACAGAGAUCACAAGUAGUCAGAGAGGCAGGCAGAGAGAGAGGGGGAAGCAGGCUCCCCGCUGAUCCUGGGCUUGAUCCCAGGAUCCUGAGAUCAUGACCUGAGCCGAAGGCAGAGGCUUUAACCCACUGAGCCACCCAGGUGCCCCAUUCAUAGUUUUUGAAAUACAUUUUCUAUCUAUUGUCUUAACAGUGUCUCAUGAAAUACCCGUGGGGUUUUUUAUUGUGGUACACGUCCAUUUUUAUCCACAGAUGUUAAAUUAGUAACUAUUACUUCCGGGCCAUAAGGACAAGGAUUCUGGGGCAUGUUGUUUUCAUCCUACUCUAAGAUGUUUGCCAGUAGGAGGGGAAAUGCGACAGACGGAUGAAACCAGGUGCUACUUAAAGAAAAAUCACAAAACAUCAUGAUGGUGCAGAUGGCGAGGGCAAGCCCGUCUGAUGGCCCGUCUGAUGGCCCAUCUUGGAAGGCUCCUCCCGCUUGGUCUUCGCCUGUCAUAGGGGCCGGCUUUACGUUCUCUCCGAGUCCUUUGAUUUAUUCUCUUUCCCCUUUCCCGCUCAGAUGUUCAGUUCUAACCCUGAAUUCUGAUGGAAAUAGCUACUCUGUCACCAGUCGUUGUUCCUAUAACGGGCUGAGCAUGAAGUUAAUCUUCUCUCUCUUCAAACCGGGUUUCUGUGGGUAGGCUGUUCGAGAACACUGGUUCUCAACCACAGGGGAUCCAGGCCCCCCCACCCCUUCCCGGGGACACUUGGCGGUGUUGGGAGACAUUUUUGCUUGACGGUGCUGCUGGUGGCUAUGGGGUUGGGGCCGGGGAUGAUACCCAGGACAGCCCCCUUGGGACAGAGAAGGAUCCAGCCCAAAAUGUCAAUGUGCUGACGAUAAGAGGCUCGGAUCUCCAGAAAUUGGAAAAGACCAAAAGGUGAGACAAUGAAUGGAUGGAGGGCACCACUGUCUUCUGAUGUCCACACGGUAUGUCCCACUUCGGAAGCAACACAGCGACUUUUGUCAUAGUUGAUGCUGAUUCCCUUCCACUGAUUAUGCUCCAUUAUCUCUGAAGCCCUUGGGGUGGGACUUAAGCCCGCGUGAAACCCAAGCACAGGACCACAAAAUGAAAAAUGGAGGCAAAUUCAAACAUGGGCUGUAACUACCAGAGGACUCCUCCUGCUCUAAGCCUCUUGGAAAAAAAGUCUUCAGAUCCUUGGUUUCAUUCAACUGACAAUAGGUUCAUCUGCAUACGGCAUUCAGCAGCAAAGUAAACUUUUUUUCCUGAGUCUUUUGUUUCCAAAUCAAAGGGAAACAAAGAAUAUCCCGGCUCCAUUCAGGCACUUUCAAUGACUCUCAAAUAAACGUGGGAGCAAUUUGGAGCCAUUUAACAUGUAGAGUGAUGAGAAAGCGUACUGAUUAACCUUGUAAACAUUCUACACAAGUGCAAGGCAACCUUCAUAAAGAAUAUCCAAGUGUCCUUUGAAUAUAAUAGCCCCUUGGCACUUGGAAACGUUCAUAGGUCUCUGAAAUAGAAUAGAGCAGAACAGACUGAAAGAAGGCAAUCUUCAAGUCUUCCAGAAACGGCGCCAUUAACACAUUAUUUUUCAGUUUCUUUACGCUCCGAAGCUUAAGGUUUCUCACCCCAAGAUCAGCUCCACUUACAAAAAAAGCCCGUUGGGCCCAUAUUUAACCAACCACCAGAAGGGAUUCAAAAGCAGGCUAAUUGAACACGGGGGUUUUUGAAAUUCUAUAAUGAUAACCCAGGAUUUUUCUCGAAAACACCCAACAGCGGCUGGUUGGCAGGAAGCAGGAAUUAGACGAGAGAAUUGAUGGAAACCUGCCCUCCACACUUGGAAAACAAAACAAAACUGCUAGUAAGCGGUGAGCUUUGAAAUCACUGCGUGUCCAUCAUUCCCGGUCACUGCCUUCAGCCUCACGGACACCUGCGCCAUCCACCUUUCGGGGAUCAGGAAACCCCCCCUGUGUCGGGUCACCCCGUGCCUCCCUUCUAGGUCCCCGUCGCCCUGGGUUCUGUCUGCGUGUUUUGCAGGCCCCUCCUCUGCUCCAAAGACCAACGAGGUCUGUCUCCAGGAAGGGUACUCGGCCAAAAGCGUUCACCACUUAACCGUAUUUAUCCCUUUCUUAGCCUUUUACCCGCUGGCUUCAGAUUUCUCUGUAACAGGCCAGCGAUGGCCAACCUCCCCCGAAUAUCAAGUUCUGAAAGGGGCUGGAGAGCCACACAGGGGAAGAGUUCGUGGGGAGCCCAAUGUGGUGUUUUCUGUCUAAAUCCUCGGGCCUCCCUCCAGCCUACCAAGGCAAGUGACAGGAAAUUAACAGCCAUAAUCAAAGACUCGAGCCUUUUUCGGUAAGGGGGGACGGAGGAGGGGCUAUAGGCAUUGUGCCCAGGAGAACCUAGAGAGAGAGAAAACCUCUCUCUGCUCAAAUUUCUGAAGUUUGUUGCCAGUGAGUCAGUACAUACCUGAUCAGGGGGGGAAAAAAAAGGUUGUCUAACCGGUUUGGCUGUUUCAGCCGACUACUACUGGGAGAAGUAAACAGAUCCUUAGCCUUUCAAUUAUGUCUGAUUUGGACAUUAUUUUCCAGUCAAUAUUUGUCAUUUGAGGGCUGUUCCUCAGCGGGCCCUGAAUCGGAGAGAUGGACACACACAGUCUUGGAUGAGCAGACUCCCCGCAACCAGCCAGCAGAAGCUACCCCUCCUCCGGGCAGUCCUCCAGGUGUUCGCCAGAAGGGGCUGGGGGAGGAUUUGGUAACACUGAGUCAGGACUUUGCAGGUCUCUUGUCAGACUGCAGCUGAAUUGAGAAAUGUUCUUCCUUUGCCCUCUGGGCUCCUCCAGUCGGCCGGGAUUUCUGCCGAUCGCCGCACAUUUCAGUGAACUGGACAGGGGUUCUCUCUCUCUCUUCAUUCAGGAAGUGGCCCGCUGAGCCCGGCCCGAGCCCCGAGAUUCUUUCUGCUCUGAUGAUAUAAACAAAUUGCAGAGGAAGUCAAGUCAAACUUUCCCUUGCUUCUUUUGUUCUCCGACUAGCAACUCCGAAAGCAGAGCCAACUUUUUCUUUUUGGAUGCCUUUGAAAGAUUGCUCUUAACUGACAAGGCAGAAACCCUCAUGGGUUUUUUGUUUUGUUUUGUUUUGUUUUUUGUUUUAAACAAAGAUCCUCCUAAACUUCUUUUGUUAUAAAAAAAAAAAAAUCAGAAAUUUCCUGGAAAUUUCUUUUAAGGCUGUUUUUUUUUUUUUCCUUUUUUUGAGCCUUUCCAACCCAAUUGCUCCCUUCACAGCACAUAACUCCCUAAUUGUUGUUCUUCCCUUCAAAUUUCAACCAGGAGAGCAAUAAUGAGCUUUGCAUGGACAAUGGCUAAACCUGAAUGAGGCUCCUGGUGCCCACAUUCAGGGCCAGGGAAAGCUAACAGUCGUGAUUCAAUAAAGGUGCCAGCCCAAGGCAUGGGCCAGACAGAAAGGAGACAACUUAUCUGUUGAAUCUACAGAUACUGCUUGAAAAAUCACACAUAAUUAAUCCCUUCUCUGAGUGGAGGCCAUUUGAAGCUUUAUCACAAGCUUUAAGAUUUCAUCUCUAGGUUUCACUGACGGCUACGGGAGGGAACAUUUUCAAACCAGAGGUCCCUGAUUAUCCAGACGUGAUACCACGCCUGUACUGGUUAUCUAAUAAGAAGAAGCUUUGUGCUAAAUAACUGAAGGAAAACAGAGUAGAGAUGCACCAACAAAUCUUUGCAGAGUGGCCCUGAGGUGGCUUCCCAGAUGGGGCGUUCGGUUACGUUAAUUCUGGUGCAAGAAAUAAAGACAAUGGGACAGCUCCAUGGAUAUCAGUAUGCCUACCUCAGUUGUCCUCAGGUCGCCUUCUGUGUACAGAGGGUAAACAGACAGAAAACCGGAGGCAGCAACUGGCUUGGACACUUCCACAAUAUGCGGGUCAUUGUUGGAAGCUGUGUGUGCCUUCACACCCCGAAAGCCCCCAAACUGCAAAGCCUGCAAUCCUGGAACCAGCUCUGAGUAAGCACCUACUGUAUGCACCAAGCAUAUCUUGAGCACUGAACGGAACAGACAGCCGUGGUUUUAAAAUAUGUCCCUGAAUGCCGUGAGUUCAUUGCCACUCCCUUGUUUCAAAAGGCAGAGGCUGUUUCCUUUCGCUUUGAGUGUAGGCUGAACCUGGUGACUUGUUUCUGGGGAGUGGAAUAUUGUGCAAGUGACAUUACGUGGUAUUUAAGGCCAGUCAUAAAAUACAUUGCUGUUUCCCUCUCAUUCCUUCUGGAAGCCAGCUGCUGUGUUCUGAGAGUGUUCCAGCGCAUUAUGGAAAAGCCCACACCGUGAGGAAUGAAGGCCUCCAGCCCAUAGCCACGCAUGUGCACCUUCUUAAAAGGAGAUAAUCCAACUGUAUUCAGUCGAGCCUUGAGAUGUUGGCAGUUUCGGCCAACAUCUUCACUGCUUGUAAGAGGCCCCGUGCCAGAACCAUCCCUUCAAACUGUUACCAGUGAUUCUUGACCUCAGACACUAGAUGAGAUAAGAAAGUUGUGAAGUUGUGAAGUUGCUACAUUUUGGGGCAAUUUGUUACACAGCAGACAAUCAAUAAUAUACCGACAAAAGUCCUGGCUUUAGGUCUCUUAUGUUCUGAGGUUCAUUUAAUAGCCAUUGAAUAAAUGUUUUUUGAGACAAUGGUGAAUGAUGGUAAGCUAAAGAAACAUAUCAAAUUAUCAUUAACUGUUCAUUCACUUAUCAAAUAUUUACUGAGCAGCCCCAUGUGUUUAUCCAUGUUCCAGGCAUCAAGCUAGAACAAUAAACAAGAAAAAUGGAACAACCCCCCCCCUCGUGGAGCUUCCAGUCUGGUAGAAAAAAGCAAGUUUUUGCCCUGUGUCUGAUACUUACUCACCGCAGUACUCUGAAAUCAAGUUUCCCUCUCCCAGAUAAGUGUAUUAUCUCAUUAAAUUCUCACACCGGUCCCUGCCUCUGCCCCAUAACCAUGCUACAGCCUUCCCCAGGCUCCCUUGCAACACAGCAAUAUGACACAAUUCAAGCCAGUACAGCAAAGGCAGGAGAUCGGGGUCUCAGGAAGUUUUGUGUCUUAGGAAGGAAAAGAUGUCCUUAGUUCUACUGUCUUCAUUUCCCGACUGGAAAGUGCUGUGGGUUAUACAUCCUGCAAGCAUCAAGUAGGGUUGAGAUGGGGACCCCCUCGGGUGGCUCAGCUGGUUAAGCGUCUGCCUUUGGCCAUGAUCUCUGGGUCCUGGGAUUGAGCCCUGCAUCAGGCUCCCUGCUCAGUGGGGGGUCUGCUUCUCCCUCCUCCUCUGUCCCUCCCCCCACUUUAUGCAUUCUCUCUGGAGCUCUCUCUCUCUCUGUCUGUCUCAAAUAAGUAAAAUCUUAAAAAGAAGAAGGAGAUAAAUGGAGAGAGCUGCGUAGCUCUGACAUUCUUAAACCAUUGAAGCAUUAUAGUAACUGCCUGCCUGCCUCUGGAUUUCUUUUUAAGUGAGAGAAAAAAAAAAAAAAUAGCCUGUUCAUUGAAGUCUCUGUUGGGUUAUUGUUGGCUGUUGCUACUUACAAGUUAAGAGCAAUCCCAACUGACUCCAUGAAAUUUAAGUGGAAAACCAAGGUCACUAAGCCAAUGAAUGGAGCACACAGAAAUUAAAACCAUAUUUUAUGAAUGCCUGGAUCUAUAUCUUCAUCAUGAUGCUAUGUCAUCAUGGUUUCCACAAGUAAAAAGAAGAAGAAAAAAAGAAACUAUAGCAAAUGUAUUUAUCUAGCUUCCCUGAUUUUAUCCAGAAUAACAAGGCUAUUCGAUAUUGUCUUAAACCACAAGACAUUAAAUCUACAUUCCAGUUUUAACAAAUAUUUAAUUGCAGAUUUAGGGGAGGUCAUGGACAGUACUAAGGAAUUCCUUGAUAUUGACGAUAUUGUUGGAAAUGUGCUAAGCAUGGAUACAUGUCUGAGAGGCGAUAAUAAAACUAGAGCCCAUUCCUUGAGGGUCCCUUCUACAAAAUAUUGACAGGGCACUUACCAUGUGCCUCGUGAUUUAGUUCCAGGAUCUUACUUGGUGCCUCUGUCACCCAACAAGGUGAGCCCAGGCACCCCAUUUUACAGUUCAGAGAGGUUCAGUCGCUGGUGCAGAAUGACCCAGCUCAGGGUAGGCUCGGGAUUGAGCUCAGCUCUACCACAGGCUGGAGCCUGGACCAUUGACUGUCAGGGAGAGCGAGUAGUAAAAUGUGUCUGUAUGUGAGAAUAGAGUAAGUGAUCCGAGGUAUGGCAGUGGUUAGGAUGGUUUAGACAUGAAGGAAUAAAGUUUGGGAAAUGCUCUGGCGGAAGGAUACUGGAGUGAAAUAAACAGGGGUCCGUUUCUGCUCCAGCCCCGCCUGGAUGUGACGUUGGGCAAGUCUCAUAAUCUCUGGGAGUCUCCAUUUCUUACUCUGUAAAAUGAGUAUAAUACCAACGUCCCACUUGUUCUGAGGACCCAGUGGGGCGAAGGCGCUGGACUGCAGGCGGGCUGUGAGGCUGGGCCUGGGAGAAUAUUCCAGGUUCUCGCUUUGGUCACUGUUCUGCACUUCCUGUAUGCAAAGGAGACAGUUUCUUUGUUUAGAUCUGGGUAUUUCUCAACAAUUAUGGACACUCCUCCUACUAGAAGAAAAAAAAUAUAUGGUUAUCCAGACAGCAAAUCCUUUCUGCAAAAGCAAUGUCCUGAAUUUUGCUAAACGCAAUCUAGGUCAGUCUUGCCUGCCCAUAGCAAAGUACCAAUGGGAAGAGAGCACGGUGAGGGCAGCAGAGUGCUGCCCUGGCUCGCAGCUUCCUCUUGCCUCACCCGACCCCUGCCACUUCUUUCCUUCUUGUUCCCAUCAAUCUGGUUCUCCCUUCUCAAUCAUUUUUCUCCAGUUACACUAGCACUUAUUUUCAUUUUGAGGUAGAUCCCUGACCUCUCUGCUCUAGACUAGUUUCCCGGUUUAGAGAAGAAAGGCAAACAUAAUUGGGGACUUUCCAUUUUUCAAGAAAGACGUUAGAAACCAUGGCAGACAACGGCUCCCAGCGGUCCCCACCUCUUGGCAUCCAUAUCUCUGGGUAAUGCUCUCCCUUCAAGUGGGGGCUGGCCAGCUGACUUCUUAACACAUGGAAUACUGUGAUGGGAAGUCAAUUCCACGGUUAGGUGUCAAAGACCAUGAGCUCCAUCUUGCUAGCAGACUCUCUCUACUGCCUUCUCAGUUCUCCCAUUCUGACGAAGCCAGUCGCCAUGCUGGAAAGCCCAGGGGCAAGGAAAUGCCCGCGGUCUCUGACCAACAGCAAGAAAAGAGCUGAAAUCCUCCAUCCAGCAACUCUUGAGGAACCACAUCUUACCGAGAGCUGCAUGAGCUUGGACGCUCCCGCUGAGCCUUCAGAUGAGACCCUGAACUCCCACCUUGAAUGCAGGGUCCAGAUUCUGACCCACAGAAACUGAGUGUCGUGCAACGAGUUGCUGUAUUUCUUGUGCGUGGAUAAUUUGUUACACAGAAAUAGAUAACUAAUACAGACCCACAGCAACACCUAAUAAUGAGUAGAGAGGAAAAAAGGAAAGAGCUAGAAGCGAAUCUGGCAUCUCCUGAUUCUGGCCACGUUCUACCACCUCAGACAUAGGUACCCUGAGGAAAGGCACUUCUUUUUCCUGCCUUGAUUCCUUCUUCUGCCAAAUGAGCAGACUGAAUUAGGGGUUGUAACUUUUCUGCCAUUUUCUCUCCUUUAAAAUCUAAUGAUGUACAACCCUGGGCUCACAUUCCAACUUGGCCGCAAUCAGAAUGAGACAGACGCUGCCCACGUGAGAUGGGGCACGGGGUUUCCAUUCCUCUCAGUCCUCACCUGAACCACUUUACUCAUUUGCAUCACCUGCCAGGCCUGGCGGGAGAGCCGGUGGAUUCCUGAAGCAAGGGAUCCCCAGUACUGGAUUACUUAUUUGAUGAGCAGACUUGCAGACGCCAAGCUGGGAAAAGACAUACAAGACACUUACUGGGGAAACUCGUAGGAGAGGAGGAUGGGGAGGAAGCCGGAGGAGGCUGGGAGAAGAGGCCGACCACAUCCCUCUAGAAAAAGAAGAAAGAACAGGGAGGUGGGAAAGGUCUGAGACUAUAAGCCCUUCUCAGAAAGCUUCGCCAAAGCCCCGUGUCUCCCCAAAAGGAGCCUGCUUUCGUAUCCCUGUGGCAUGCGAUCCCAGGUAAGGAGCAACCUUAGGGAACGUGGAUUUCGCACAAAUGCCGAUCCAUCCCAGAGCGCAACAUCUGGGGACCUCGAUCCAUCAUAGUCCCCGCUGUGGGAGACCCAAAAGGUAUGAUUUUGGGAAUUUCGCAGCCCCUGAGCUUUCUGCUAGUCUAAAAAUCCCCCAAGUUUGGACCCGAGGGGCGAAUGUGGACCACAGAUGCAUUUUGAUUGGCUCAUGGUAUUUAAAAACAUUAACUACAACGCUGAAACCUCCAUCUAAAGAGGAAAAUUUUAAUAUACCGGACAUCAUCCAAUUUAAAACUUAUCCUCUGAGAAAGACACUGUUAACAGGAAAAAAAAAAAAAAAAAAAAAAAAAGCAAGUCACAUAGUAAAUGAAAAGUAUUGGCAAAUCAUAUACCUGACAAUUCACAUAUUUGCAUCCAGAAUGUAAGUUUUAAAACCUCCAAAAUUCAGUAAUAAGGAAACAAAUCACCCAGUAUUUUUAAAGUAAACUCUACACACAUCCUGGGGCUCGAACUCACAACCCCACGAUUUGCAUGCUCUACCAACUGAGCCAGCCAGGCCCCCCAAAACCACCCAAUAUUUUUAAAUGGGCGAAAGAUUUGAACAGACAUGAAUAAAAGAAUAGAUACUCGUGACAAGCAAAUGAGAAGAAUUUCCAGUAUCUUCAGUCUCCACAAGAGCCUCCCCCAACGAUUGUGAAAAUGGCUAAAACUUUUUAAAAACUGAUGAAUACCCAGUACAAGACUUCACAGAGCUGUUCUCAGGUUUAAAUAAAAUAAUGUGCGUGCAAUGCUGGGCACAGAAUGCAUCCUCAGUGCGUGUGUCAUCAGAAGUUUCAAAAGAAAAUUAAGAGCCAGUGUUUUGGAAGAGAAGGCUAGACAGAAAAGAGAAGGACUAAACUUUGAAUAAAAUGUCAAGGGAUAGAAGUUCCUCUCAAAGGAAUGAAUUUCUCUUGCUGAAAAUUUGAGCCACUGCUAGUUCAUCGGCCCCACUAUUCGACCAGGAGGACAGUGUGAAAAUGACUUCGCAUUUACCAAACACCUGCUACUCCUCAAGUAAUUGACACAGACGCUCACAUUGCUAGCCUCGGGUGAUAGAUGAGGCUCAGAGAGGUCAGCCGCUUUCCCAAGACCACACAGCGAAUGAAUGGCAGAUCCAGAAUUCUCAAGAACUUUGUUCUCUUCUCCCUAUGCAAGGCAGCCUUCCAAACCGGGAAGAAGGGGAAGCAAUCAGGGUUAUGUUCCUUCUUCAGGGGACAUUUCUACUUCAUUUAUCAGGCUUGCUGCACACACAAAGUCUACCUCCCACCACCUUCCCACCUUCUGAGGUCCCUCCAUUUUUAUUCUUACAUCGGGUACCUACCCCGCUCCCAUGUUCCAUGUUCCAUGUUCCUCCCACCUGGUUAAGCCAGUGUCAGCCAGGGUUAUCAGCAUGCUUCUGCCUUGUACCCGCUUAAGGAAGCCUUGUAGACUUUGCAGACUUUGUAUAAAGUUCUCGAACUACCCCCCAGGAGAUAAUACCACUGAUCUACUGCGUAUCUGUGUAUGUAUUGUGACAUACACGUGUGCUUUAUAACAGGAGUGAGAUUUUGCACCCGCUUCCCUCAAGAGCCAGGUUGGCCCCCUUGAGGGAAGUUCUCCUUGGGAACGUGGCUUUGGGGGUGAUGACCAAAGCAGCAACAGCAGCACGGUGUGGGGUUGGGCUUGGUUGGUGCCUGUUACUGCUGUAAGAGCUUCAUAGGCAUUGAUGGCAGCAGGUCUCCCUUGCAGGCCGGUCUCAGUUUACCCACAAUCAGAGAAGCAGCAUAGCUCCUGACUCCUUCUGGGAAGUGGAACACAUUUGCCCUUCUAUCAGCUCUUCCUCAAUCUCUUUCCAUCUUCGUCCACUUAAAGCCCGGAUGCAGAAGUGAUUCUCGGAAAGCCAAAACCACAGGAGGAUGUUGCCUUCUUUUCCAGGUGGCAGGAUUACUUACUCUUGAUCGUCCCAAAUUCCCUAUUUUCCCAGCUUCUUGAAACUUGUUCUGAAUUGUCUCUUCGAUUUCAACACAGUCUUUCUUAGUGACUAUGUCCAGAGAAGCAUUCGGGCUUUGAAAACCUCCUCAACCACCUCUUCUCUAGAAAUUACGACAACUACACUUUGUUCAGGUGCCAAGAUCGAGUCGUUUCGGGGAUGACCAAUGUCCUAUUUUUGCAACACCUGCCAUUUCACAUGGGAGACGAUGGAGACCCAGGGAUGCCCGUUCACUCAUCCCCGGUCCCGCGAGGAGAAGGGGUGGCCGGCCCAGACUGCACAUCCAGGGCAGACCAGCUCCAAGUACGUGUUGCUAACCACGAUGAGAAGCCGGGGCUUAAUUUCAGCGUUUCACUUGCCUCAGAGUGGGGAGGAAACAGAAGAUGGACAUUUUCAAAGAGGGAGGGGGCGUCGACGUGUUUUACACAAGGUCAUUCUCCCAGCCACCAGACGAUGGUGCUGCGCAGUACCAGACUUUUUUUAGUGGUGCGUCUGACAAUGGAUUAAGAUUUGGCACCCCCAAAAAAGAGAGGGCACCUGGCUGGGUCCAUCAGUAGAGCAUGUGACUCUUGAUCUCGAGACUGUGAGUUCAAGCACCAUGUUGGGCACAGAGCUUACCUUAAAAAAAAAAAAAAAAAAAAAAAAGCAGCAGCUUUCUAUCCAGUCAUUUACUGCUUUUAGUAAGAUGUUUCUCUCUUCCUGGGGCACCUGGGUGGCUCAGUGGGUUAAAGCCUCUGCCUUCAGCUCAGGUCAUGGUCUCAGGGUCCUGGAAUCAAGCCCCGCAUCGGGCUUUCUGCUCAGCAGGGAGUCUGCUUCCUCCUCUCUUUCUGCCUGUUUCUCUGCCUGUUCAUGAUCUCUGUCUGUCAAAUAAAUAAAUAAAAUCUUUUAAAAAGGGACGCCUGGGUGGCUCAGCUGGUUAAGCGGCUGCCUCCGGCUCAGGUCAUGAUCCCAGCAUCCUGGGAUCAAGUCCCACAUCGGGCUCCUUGCUCAGCCGGGAGCCUGCUUCUCCCUCUGCCUCUGCCUACCACUCUGUCUGCUUGUGCUCACUCUCGCUCCUCUCUCUCUCUGACAAAUACAUAAAUAAAAUCUUUAAAAAAAAAAAAAGAUGUUUCUCUCUUCCUUCUCAAUUCCUAUAUUAUAAAAUGAUUCUCUCGGGGCACCUGGGUGGCUCAGUGGGUUAAGCCUCUGCCUUCGGCUUAGGUCAUGAUCUCAGGGUCCUGGGAUUGAGCCCCGAGUCGGGCUCUCUGCUCAGCGGGGAGCCUGCUUCCCCCUGCCUCUCUGCCUACUUGUGAUCUCUCUGUCAAAUAAAUAAAAAGUCUUUUAAAAAAAUAAUAAAAUAAAAUGAUUCUCUCAAGGGAGAAACCUCCCAGUACAGACAAGGCUCCAAGAAGAAGAGCUCACCCUCUUACACUUUGCCAGAGGUUUCCAGACUCAUGAAUCGCUUUUUCUAGGUUGCCCCAAUGUGCUUUCCGCAUAAUGUUCUCCAGCCCAAUGUACAUGGUAUUAACCUUGAGUAGCUUCCUGUGUUCUUCUAGAAUUCAGUGCACAUUCUUUCAGUUUCUCUUUGUACUUGAGGAAGGAAAAAACGUACUUCUACAAUGAAGUCUGCGUUGUUUCUCUAUCACGUGCACAAUGUGUCUUCCUCUCCACGCUUUAUACGAAUGUCUCCUCUCUCCAUCCCAGCUUCUGGUAAGUGUCCCAUUCCCAGCUUCUGGGUAAGAAAGGGGAUCCCACAGAAAUGAAGUGACAGGUCUGGACACGCAACCGGGUACUGCAAAAGCAGAAUUCAGUUCGCCUUCUGCUGGCCCAUGGGCUCUUCAGUAACACCAUUUUCCCACAUGUGGCCCGUCUACCCGUCAAAACUUUCUCUUUCAGGCACCUUUGAAACCUCCAGCAAAAGCCCCAAACUUCCAUUUCUAACCCAAUAAAUGCCCCCCCCCAAUUAUUCUUUUUCUACUUGACAUUUUCAGUCAAUCACUUUUUUUGGUUCUUCGGACUGGCAGGCAGACUUCCGGUUUCUGGUGAAGCACCCAGAGGCUUAGAAGUCGCCCCUCGGUCCUGCCAACAAGGGGAAAGCUGAAGGAGCUGAGGCGUUAACAGCUCCUCUCAGAUCUGCAAGAGAAUUGAGGCUGCUGUGAACCACCGCCUCCAGACCUGGAGGGACAGAGGCAGCUAGAGAAAAUCACCACCUGCUAGAGCCUCACUUUUGGGGUGGGGGGAAUGGUGCCCCGUGUGGGGAAACCUCUGCUGAAACCGGUGAGUGGCCACAGGUGGGGUUUGGACAGAAAAUCAAAACCUCCAGGGGUUCCAGUCAGAAGGGACACAUCUGCAAGUUUCACCUCCAAGAGCUUCUCCCAGGGAAUAUCAGAGAAAAGUCCCCCUUGUGCUUCCGGAAGGGGAAGGGAACAGGAACAAGUCUGAAAUACCCCAGAGCGUGGUCGUGUUCUUCUGCAGGAGGCCUGCCCUCAGGGGAAGCGAGUUAGCCAGGGCCCAAUGUGCUGGCCUUUAUCAGCGCUGUUGUAGGGGAAGGAAGACACCAACUCCAGCCCCUUCUAGCCGUCCUGGGCCAGCCACGGGGAGGGGCUGUAGUGAAGUUCACAGGGAGACACAGGCUCAGACGGGGCUGAGACCUGACCCCAGGAGUCAAGGACACUCCCCCCACCUCCCUCCAUAUCACUAAAGGCCUAAUUAUAGCAGUUCCUUCUACUUGUCACAUUAUGUCAGUAAAAAAAAUAAUAAUAAAAUAAAUAAAGUACAAGGCAUAUAUAAAAAGGAAACAGAAACAAAAAAAAGUUUAGAGAAACAGAUCAAGCCUCAGAACCACACUCAGGCCUGGCAGGGCUGUCGGGAUGAUCAGAGCAGGAAUUUAAAACUGUAAUUAAGAUGCUAAGAGCUCUAAUGAAUAAAGUAGACAGCGUGUGGGAACAGGUGGGCAGUGGGAGCAGAGAGAUGGGUCUUCUAAAGAACCAGGAAGAAAUGCUCGUGAUAAAACCAUGUCACAGGAAGGAAGAAUGCUUCUGACUGGCUGGCUUACUAGUAGACUGGAGAGGACAGGAUUUCUGAGUUUGAUGGUAUUUUCCACAGAAACCAUGAAAACUGAAAAGCAAGGAGAAAAAAGACUUGGGGGGGGUGGAGAAGCAGAACAGAAUAUCCAAGGACUGUGGAACAAUUAAAAAAGGUGUAACACACAGAGUGGGACCAUCAGAGGAGAAGAAAGAAAGGCACAGAGGGGACUUUGAAGCAAUAAUGACUCCGAAUGUCCCCGGCUGAUGCCAGACACCAAACCACAGAUCCAGAAAGCUCAGGUGGAGGAGGCAGAAAGGAACGUCCCCGCCCCCAACCCGCCCCCAAAACUACCUCU